rnacentral:rRNA from 1 species
UGGGGAAUAUUGCACAAUGGGCGCAAGCCUGAUGCAGCCAUGCCGCGUGUAUGAAGAAGGCCUUCGGGUUGUAAAGUACUUUCAGCGGGGAGGAAGGCGAUAAGGUUAAUAACCUUGUCGAUUGACGUUACCCGCAGAAGAAGCACCGGCUAACUCCGUGCCAGCAGCCGCGGUAAUACGGAGGGUGCAAGCGUUAAUCGGAAUUACUGGGCGUAAAGCGCACGCAGGCGGUCUGUCAAGUCGGAUGUGAAAUCCCCGGGCUCAACCUGGGAACUGCAUUCGAAACUGGCAGGCUAGAGUCUUGUAGAGGGGGGUAGAAUUCCAGGUGUAGCGGUGAAAUGCGUAGAGAUCUGGAGGAAUACCGGUGGCGUAGGCGGCCCCCUGGACAAAGACUGACGCUCAGGUGCGAAAGCGUGGGGAGCAAACA